rnacentral:lncRNA from 1 species
AAGGAAGGAAGGAAGGAGGAAUAGGAGCUUGUGACUAAUGUGGUCACCCGAAAUGCGUGACAGUAUUAUAGCACCCACAUAGUCACGUCUCUUCCCUGUGUGGGGUGUGCUUAGGAAAGUUACUGUGGAUCACACAAAGGUACAGUUUGCUAAGCGAAUGUACAGAUUAGGGAUUGCUAAAAUCUUCUUUCUUAUUUAAUUCAGGAGGGUCCCCUGCAGCCCAGAAGAAUAUGUUGGCUUUGCACAUUAAUGGAAUCAUUUCAGCUGCAGUAGUUUAAAUGCAAGGCAUGGGGUUUCCCCCCUAGUUCCUGCAAGUGCAGGAUUAUUCCCCACAGAGCAGUCACAAUGGCUUUAAAUUUCAAAUUUAAAGGAGGGGAGAAAAUGUCGCAACACUUUUUUUGGGUAGUCCCUCUCCCCGUUGUUAAUAAGCCUCUUUUGAUAAAUAUGCUAUUGCUAUGUUAACAUCAUCAUUAUUUGUGUGUUUGUGUGUGUGUGUGGGAAGCUGGGAAGCUGCCCAAAGUGGCUGGGGCAACCCAGUCAGAUGGGUGGGGUACAAGUAAUAAAUUAUUAUUAUUAUUAUUAUUAUUAUUAUUAUUAUUAUUAUUAGCAGAAAAGCUUUCAUUUUAUUCCAGCCCUAUCAAUUUCUUCGUGUGUGACUGAGCCAAGAGUAUACAUAAUGUGUCCUUUUUGUAAUAUGGUAUCCAUGAGUGGUGUGUUUGUGCUGGUGUAUUGAUUCCAUGUACCUCAUCCCUACAAGCCAGAAGGCUCCCACGUCAAAGCUGAACUGAUUUCCCAGUAGUAUAGCCUAGCGGGGGAUUCAGACUGUACAGAGCCUGGCUACAGUAGACCUGACCUGCAGUUUCUCAGAGGACAUUGUAUUGAGAAAAUAUCUGAGGGGGUUGUUGUUUUUUGCUCCCCCCAGCCUACAAAAAAGAAGGCCACUUUUCAGGAUUUUUUCUGAAUUUUCAUCAGCAUCUUUUUUUGUGGCAGCCACUAUCUCUUCCCCCCACCCCAUAAAAUGUCCUGGAAUGAUGUUAGAUCUAAAGCAGAGGUGGGAAAACUAUGGUCCUCCAGAUGUUGACAGACUACAGCUCUGACCACUGGCCCUGUUGGCUGGGAUUGACUGGAGUUGUCAUUCAACAGCAUCUGGUAGGCCACACAAGGAAAACAGCCAUUUAUCUGUCAACAGAUGGCUUAGGAUUUCCAUUUUCUUUUUAUGCAAUCUGUCUGUCCACCAGCCACAUCAUCAAAUGCAUUUUGUAGGAAUUUUACUGUUUGCAUCUCAGUACUUUGUGUUUUUAUUUUCUCAUCUUCCAAACACCAAUGAGUUUUUGAUUCCCUACUUUUUAAACUCUGUAUUCCAAACUUUAUGCCAUAAUAUAAUUGGUUAAGUCUUUAUAGUACCACAAGACUUUUCAUUUUGCUUUGCUACAAUGAUCAACAAGGCUACCUUUUUCGAAACCUAUCAAUAGAUGGUGUUUGUAAUAAGUCUGAUAGCUACCUCUGAUGAUAACUGAUCCAAGAAACUGUUGCCUAGAAUUGUCCUUUCCCCCAUAAACACCUUAAGAUGAAAGUAUUGAGGAUGUUUCAAGAGGAUGCACAAUAUUAUCCUCUCCCUAUUCUCAAAGCCUUUUUCUUUCAGCAGUUCUUCUGAGACGGUUCCCAGCUGCAUCUCAUUAUCUAUCAAGUUGUUUGGAAGCCUUGUUGAGCUGAGAAUGCCCAGCAGAAACAUAAGAAAUCAACAACAUUUUCUUUCUUCAAAAUACUGAUUAUGCUAAUCAUCUCUGUUGAUAUCAAAAGAAUAUCCUACGAGAUGCUAGAAUGACCAUUUUUCACCAGUGGUUUAAGGAAACCAAGAGGCACAAAAACUGAAAUGCAAAACAUCUCUCAGAUUUAUGGUCCAAGUGAUCCAGUCUUCUGGAACAGUAUUCCUAGCACCUGAAUACUAUUACUAUACUUUACCAUCUAAGGUUACUCAGUCCCAUAGUACCAGCCAGGAUAUUGUUAUAUUGACAAGUCUGUAAGAGAGAUUCAGUAUACUAACUGGGCUGGUUUUGGGUAUUUGAGGCCUGUGGAUAAGUACUUGUAGCUGUUCAGCCAACCACUGAACAGCUUAUAUUGUUUCAUCAGCUGCAUUUUGUUCUGUAUAUUGUGCUUUUAAUAUUUAAUCUUUUCGUUUUGUACAUUACCAUGUCUUUUAAUAUGUACACUGCUUUGAGACUUUGGUAAAAUGGUGGCGCAAAAAUGUUUUAAAUAAGUAAAUAAAUAAAUAAAAAGAUACCACUUCUCUUACAAAAUGACCAAGAAAUAUACCAUAUUUUUCCGUGUAUAAGACUACCCCCAUUUUGGGGGACCCCAAUUGAAUAAAAUGGGGGGAGAUGGCCCAGAGCUGAUUGAGCUUUUUUGGGGGUGGGAAUGCCGAAAAUCACUCACACGACUGACAUACGCUGACAAUCGCACACGUCGUAGAUGCCACCAACCAUUUGCCUGCUUGACGCCAGACGGCAAUCGCACCCCCUGAUUUUUUACAUUAUUUCCGAGGAAAAAAACCUUGUCUUAUACACAGAAAUGUAUGGUAAUUUACUCUAAGGUACUGCCCAGUUAAAAUGUCUGGUUAUGGUAGGAGAACAUUACCCCCACUGAACUGCAGCACCAGAGCUACUGCUGUGUUCCCAAAGGCCAUUGACAUCUACAUCUCUUUCCUUUAAUGAUAUUUUGUGCAUGCAUUGCUACAUGGUGGCCUAGGCUAGAAAACUUGUGAGGUUGGUGGUGUAGGGCAGGAAGGGAAGGGGAAGAGGUUGGUUGGGUCUCCUGUAAGCCACAGUUCACCUCUUGGGGAUCAGUUCAUGUUUUGUGCUUUUCUUAGCCACUGAUGGAUGUGCACAGUUUUGAGGUGAACGCUCUAAGAGGCUGAGUCAUCACUGAGGUGAAUGCUCUAAGGGGUUGAGUCAUCAAUCCCACUGAGAAAAGAAAAUAUCUGUCUUGAGAGUGAGAUAUUUGUUCUGGAACUUCUUAAAAGGAGAUUUAAUGGUGAGCAGAAGCUGCGUUGUGGAGUUUCCUUUGUGUCUGCAUGUACCUCUAGAGGCUGUAUCACUCCUUUUGUUACAGUGACAUCCCACGGAAAGGACUGACAUGUUGUUGAAAUUCUACAUGAAUUUGAAUUUCGGGUGUCUCCCCCCCCAGCAAUAUUUACUCCCAGUGCAAAUGUUUUAGGGCCAGUUAAUUUACACCUGGGAGGAUAGUAACUCACUGUGACUGAGCUUUCAGUUCACUGAAUAAUGUGGUUCAUUAUUUAUGUGGCAUAUUAGGAAUAGAUCAUUGACUAGCAUCUGUGGUUAAGCCCCAGCAGAGGGGAGAUUAACAUGUUUUGCAGCUUGGAAUAAUCUUCCCUCACCUCCAGACCAUGCAAACUCUUUUACCUACAAAGCGAUGAAGUGACUGCUUUGAAAGUUGACAAUUUAUACUAAGUAUUAUAAUACAGCAAUAUAUAAUUUACUGUUGUGCUACAUAUUUCAACUUCCAGAGUACUUUCAGGCAAUAAGGGAUGGAGGCAGAAAUUCAGUCCUACCGUUCCAAAGCACUCAUAGCUAGAAAAAUCUUACCUACACCUCACAGUGAUUUAUUCAGAUUGGUCAUCCAUAUUGGCAGUUUGAGGUGUAUAGCAAUGUGGAACAAUGAAGCUAAUUAAAUAACCAUUAAAUGCAAACCAUACUUGUGGCUUCCCAGUCAGUAUGAUAACCUUUGAUGUACCGUGGGGUCCUUAAGAAGGUCCUUCUCCCUUUUGAAACCUAGCACCCCUUGGCAGUCGCAAGGAAGACCAGCAUAGCUGGGCAUCUUCACAGCUCACCUUUGUCACCAUAAUUAAAUCAACAAUAAAAUAGCCCAGUGGAUGGUUAACUGACUUCACCUAUUGAACACAGAAUAGUAAGACUCUCCAGUAGUUUGGCUAAAAGUUCCAAGGCAAGGAUGCGGGAUGAGAUUCUAUAGGUUAUUCAGGAUCAAAUGACACCAGCCAUACUUUAACCAAGGAACUUGAUCUAUUAACAAAAUACAGUGGUACCUCGGGUUAAGUACUUAUUUCGUUCCGGAGGUCCGUUGUUAACCUGAAACUGUUCUUGACCUGAGGUACCACUUUAGCUAAUGGGGCCUCCUGCUUUCUGUUCUUACCCUGAAGCAAAGUUCUUAACCUGAAACACUAUUUCUGGGUUAGCGGAGUCUGUAACCUAAAGCGUAUGUAACCCGAGGUACCAAUGUAGACAGAAUGUUGUAAGAUUCUCAGGACCUGGGACGAAACACCUCUGGCUCUUUCUGCCUGAGGCUCAGGACUCUUCUUAGGCCACACCCCCUCCCAAGCCACAUCCCUCACUAGCGUGCUUUUCAGCCUCUUUGAGUGUUUUAGCCUGACUGGAACAUGUUCUUGAAUUCUGACAGUGCCUCUUGCCUGCCUGGCUGGAGGAUAGAGAGGGCUGUGUAGGUGUAUGUAGAAACAACAAAGGUGAAAUUUACAUUAGUUGCUCCGCCCACUUUUGCCUCUGGGCCCGCCCAUUUAUUAAUUAAUUAUUUCAUAGAAUUUAUACACCACUCGAUUGUAAAGAACCUCAUUGUAAAGAAUGGACAAUGUUUAUUGAAUAUUUUAAGAACCAGUAUGAACAAAUACAUAGCUUAGCAGGUCUCGAGUAAAUCCAGCAGAGUUGAAAUAGAGUAUUUAAUAGAUAACAAACUGGAUGAUUAAAAAGAUGUGGAUUACGCGGAGUAGUAGAAGAGCAAAGGAACCAGGAAAAGGGUGGAAGGGAAGUCAUACUGUAUAUGUAUACGUGCUGUAUUUGGUACGAAGUUAUAAGUGGGACAGGAGGAGGGGAGGGAGGGUUAAAUAUGCUCUCUGCUCCUGUUUUUGAAAAUGCAAAUAAAAUGAAAUAAUAAAAAAGAAUCUCAUAGCAAUAUACAGAGAAGAUGAGGUUAUCAAUGGAAACAAUUAACAACAAUAAUUAAAAUAUUCAGAAAAUAAAAAAUCAACAAUAAACUGAAAUGUGCAUGUGGCCCUUGGAAGGUUUCAUGUGGCCCUUAGGCUAAACAGGGCUACCAAUCCAUGUUGUAGAUGUUAGGGAAGCCAACUGACUACUUCUUUAAGGGAGGAGAUCCCAUCCAGUUCUUGUGGGGUGGAGUACAAUGCAUAUUCAGGCUACUAAUUCUGUUCAGCAACUGCCUGCUUUUGCUACCUGCACAGUAUUGCAAAAACAUCUGGAGGCAGGCCACAGCCUGGAAACCCAGCCAGAUGGGCAGGGUAUAAAUAAUAAAUUAUUAUAAUUAUUAUGGUGGGUUACAAGUUGUGCCGGGGAAAGGAAAAGGAAGCUAAGCUAAAUGAACUAAGCUCAUGAGCAUAUGCCUGUGGACUCCUUUGGGAAACCACAGUUCUUAACUCUGUGAACAUAGCCCACACCUCUGUCUUCAAGGCCUGUCAUUCUUCUUCCCAACACCUGCUUCUUCCACCACUUUUCAGGAUGUUUUUCUGGAGCUUCAAUAUGUGUGAGGAGCUGCUGGCACCAGACGCACUGAGAUUUUUCUUUUAAAAAAGGAAAUAUACAACACCAAAAUAAUGAAGUCUACCUACAUUGCACACAAAGAGAAGCUGUGCGGUGGGAAUCCUGCCGUGAAACCACUUCAGAU